rnacentral:lncRNA from 13 species
AUGCCAUUUGCUCUUAUGUUCUUCUGGGAUGUUCACAUGGUAUUUAACAAACAACUAGGUCUAGAUCAGGUCUUGACAAACUACAGAAAACUACAAUUCUGGAGCAUGCCCCUUUUUGUUUUACAGGCACACAGCCACACCCAUUUGUCUGCUUAUUAUCUCUGGCUGCUUUUGCUCUACAAUGGCAGAGGUUUUGGGGUACAUGUCAAGAACAUGCAAGAUAGUUGCACAGCUCACUCUGAUGGAAGCCAGCUGCUAUGUUGUGUUUUGCUCUAUGGAGAGGCCCAGGUAGAAGGAAUUGAAGGAGGCUUUCAGCCAACAGUCAGCAAGGAACUGAGGCUGUCAGUCCAAGAGCCUAAAAGGAACUGAAUCCUACCAGCAACCAUGCAAGUGACUUGAAAGUGGAGCCUCUCCCAGCUGAGCCUUUGAAUAAGACCACAGCCCCAUAUAAUACCUUGAUUGUAGUCUUGUUAGAGAUCUUGAGCCAGUGGCACUCAGAUAAGCUGUACCUGGAUUCCUGAACCAUAAAACCCCAGAAAUAGUAAAUGUUUGUCAUUUUGAACUGUGAAUUCUUCUUGCAGGUAAUUUCUUAUGCAGAAAGAGAUAACAAAUACACAGAUCAUAUAAAUAAAGUGGCUCAGUUUGCCUGGAACCUCA